rnacentral:lncRNA from 1 species
UAGCUUUCCUUUCGCUCACAAAUUAGAUCCAAUACUUCUUUGGGUAAAGCAGUCAUGAUACUUAUUAUAAGUGGUAAUAACAAUAAUAUAUUAUAUGAUUGAUAAGACUCAACUCAGUCACAGUGCUUAGUGGUCAGCUCCUCAGCCUGCUCAAACAACGAUUAAGAAAGCUGGAAUAUCCAUUGCCAUUGAUAUAAAUAUAAUAACAAUGAACGUGAAUCUCCUCUAUUUACUUAUACCAGCAUUUUUUUUGGGGAUCGACGGAGCCCUUGAUGAAGCAUUAUUCUCGUAAUGUAGAAUCCUCCUCCUUAGGAAGCCUUCUCAUGAACUCCAAAGGAUACGCAAUCUCCUACAUCAUCAAUCAAUUAGGAGCCGUUCUCUUCUUCAUUUUUUCUCAAAUUCAAUGAUCUCAACGUUGGAGUUCCCUUUACCAAUUCAACAAAGUUUAUAUUUAACUAUGCAGUUGGCCGUAUUCUUGGGGAAGAAUCCCUAACAACCAAGAAAGCAUUAGGUCUUUGCCUAAUUUUAAUUGGAUGCUUUAUUCAAUUUCUCUUUUAAAAUUGAGACUAUAUGGUCCCUAUUUAUAGAUAUCAGUACAAGAAGUGGCAUGAAAAGUUGUGAUUUGAGUGACUUGUUAACUUAAUUUUUGUAUUUUUUUAUUUGAAAUGUACCUAUAUAAUUAUAAUUUUACGGACUUAAUGUGCUUAAAUACAUCAUUGACUGUAAAAGGA